rnacentral:rRNA from 1 species
AUUGAACGCUGGCGGCAAGCCUAACACAUGCAAGUCGAACGAGUGGCGGACGGGUGAGUAAUGUCUGGGAAACUGCCUGAUGGAGGGGGAUAACUACUGGAAACGGUUGCUAAUACCGCAUACCAUCAGAUGUGCCCAGAUGGGAUUAGCUAGUAGGUGGGGUAAAGGCUCACCUAGGCGACGAUCCCUAGCUGGUAUGAGAGGAUGAAAGGCCACACUGGAACUGAGAGACGGCCCAGACUCCUACGGGAGGCAGCAGUGGGGAAUAUUGCACAAUGGGCGCAAGCCUGAUGCAGCCAUGCCGCGUGUAUGAAGAAGGCCUUAGGGUUGUAAAGUACUUUCAGCGGGGAGGCGUUACCCGCAGAAGAAGCACCGGCUAACUCCGUGCCAGCAGCCGCGGUAAUAC